rnacentral:rRNA from 1 species
UACAGAGGUCCCGAGCGUUGUUCGGAUUCAUUGGGCGUAAAGAGCGUGUAGGCGGCCAGGUAGGUCGGUUGUGAAAACUGGAGGCUCAACCUUCAGACGUCGACCGAAACCAUCUGGCUAGAGUCCGGGAGAGGAGAGUGGAAUUCCUGGUGUAGCGGUGAAAUGCGCAGAUAUCAGGAAGAACACCCGUGGCGAAAGCGGCUCUCUGGAACGGUACUGACGCUGAGACGCGAAAGCGUGGGGAGCGAACAGG